rnacentral:lncRNA from 1 species
UUCAAAUAAAAUCCCAAGUCUUUACAACCUUAAAUAAACUGAAACUUAAACUUAGCGUUUAUGACUACAUUACAUCAUAUGCAGAAAUAUAACUUGUUACAUAAAUAACUCUCAUCAUUUCAUCUUAGACUUCCCCUUGUCCUUGCCCGAGCCCUCAGUGUUCUCAGCCUUAAUUGAAAGGUUUAAGCAAGAAAGAGUACAAAUUGCCCAGCAAGUAUAUAAAGUAGUUUGGAAACAUGCAUCAGGAGUAAAAGCAUUUGUAUGAAUAUUUCUCAAUAGUUGAAAUAAUUAUCAGGAGAUAAACAGGAACAUCAAGAUAAGAGUUUUAGAAUUCUCAAUAGCAUACUAAGGGGUGUUAGAUACCCUGAACAUUACUUUGUUUCAUUAAAAAAAACAUCAGACGAUUUAACAAUCAAAUAGAUUGUAAACAGUCUCUGCAAG